rnacentral:rRNA from 1 species
AACGAACGCUGGCGGCAUGCCUAACACAUGCAAGUCGAACGAGACCUUCGGGUCUAGUGGCGCACGGGUGCGUAACGCGUGGGAACCUGCCCUUAGGUUCGGAAUAACUCCCCGAAAGGGGUGCUAAUACCGGAUAAUGUCUUCGGACCAAAGAUUUAUCGCCUUUGGAUGGGCCCGCGUUGGAUUAGCUAGUUGGUAGGGUAAAAGCCUACCAAGGCGACGAUCCAUAGCUGGUCUGAGAGGAUGAUCAGCCACACUGGGACUGGGACACGGCCCAGACUACUACGGGAGGCAGCAGUGGGGAAUAUUGGACAAUGGGCGGAAGCCUGAUCCAGCAAUGCCGCGUGAGUGAUGAAGGCCUUAGGGUUGUAAAGCUCUUUUACCCGGGAUGAUAAUGACAGUACCGGGAGAAUAAGCUCCGGCUAACUCCGUG